UACGAAGGGGGCGAGCGUUGUUCGGAUUUACUGGGCGUAAAGGGCGCGCAGGCGGCUCGUUUUGUCAGGCGUGAAAGCCCCCGGGCUUAACCUGGGAACUCGCGUUUGAGACGGAGUGGGCUAGGAGUUCGGGAGAGGAGCGUGGAAUUCCCAGUGUAGAGGUGAAAUUCGGUGAGAUAUUGGGAAGAACACCGGUGGCGAAGGCGGCCAUCUGGACGAGGACUGACGCUGAGAAGUGCGAAAGCCGGUGGGGAGCAAACAGGAUUAAGAUA
rnacentral:rRNA from 1 species